GGGGAAUAUUGCACAAUGGGGGAAACCCUGAUGCAGCGACGCCGCGUGGAGGAAGAAGGUCUUCGGAUUGUAAACUCCUGUUGUUGAGGAAGAUAAUGACGGUACUCAACAAGGAAGUGACGGCUAACUACGUGCCAGCAGCCGCGGUAAAACGUAGGUCACAAGCGUUGUCCGGAAUUACUGGGUGUAAAGGGAGCGCAGGCGGGAGAACAAGUUGGAAGUGAAAUCCAUGGGCUCAACCCAUGAACUGCUUUCAAAACUGUUUUUCUUGAGUAGUGCAGAGGUAGGCGGAAUUCCCGGUGUAGCGGUGGAAUGCGUAGAUAUCGGGAGGAACACCAGUGGCGAAGGCGGCCUACUGGGCACCAACUGACGCUGAGGCUCGAAAGUGUGGGUAGCAAAC
rnacentral:rRNA from 1 species